rnacentral:misc_RNA from 1 species
AAUUUAAUGGCUUAGAUUACAAGACAAGGUCGUUGAUAUUACUGUGAUUGUUCAUUGUAGGUAGUAUUAUUUAUAUAAAAAAGGUAAGGUGAUUCUACUGUUUAAUUUAAAUGUUUACUUUCUUUGUAAAUUCAACGUUGUUGCAAUACUUUAAAGGGAGGUAACCCAUUUUCAAAGACCUCAAAAUUGAUUGAUUUCUGUUUAACAAAGAAUCCGACUGAGAUGGUGAUAUCGUGUGACCACCGAAGAUCCUGGCAACAUUCUCUAAAUUGAGCGGAUUUCAUAAUCGCAGCGACAUAUUAUAACAAGCAAACGGAAUUCAAACAAUCUAAAACAAAAAAGAAGAACUGGAAUCGAGGAAAAGAAAUACGGAUAUAGGUGCAAGAUCGAUAAUAUUCCGACAUGGAAAACGAAAGGAUGAGGAUGACGACGAUAAUGGUGCUGAUGAUAAUGAUGAUGGUGACAACGAAAGUAUCGAAGUUAAUGAUGAGGUCGAGGAUGAAGUGGAGGAAGAAACACAGUUCAGGCGUUCAUUGAUUGUUGGUUGUUGUAUUUGUCGUUAAAAUAUAAAAUAAAUAAAA